CAGGCUUAACACAUGCAAGUCGAGGGGCAGCAUUUCGCUAGCAAUAGUGAAGAUGGCGACCGGCGCACGGGUGAGUAACACGUAUCCAACCUGCCGAUAACUCGGAGAUAGCCUUUCGAAAGAAAGAUUAAUAUCCGAUGGUAUAUUAAGAUCGCAUGGUUUUACUAUUAAAGAAUUUCGGUUAUCGAUGGGGAUGCGUUCCAUUAGUUUGUUGGCGGGGUAACGGCCCACCAAGACUACGAUGGAUAGGGGUUCUGAGAGGAAGGUCCCCCACAUUGGAACUGAGACACGGUCCAAACUCCUACGGGAGGCAGCAGUGAGGAAUAUUGGUCAAUGGGCGAGAGCCUGAACCAGCCAAGUAGCGUGAGGGAUGAAGGCUCUAUGGGUCGUAAACCUCUUUUAUAUGGGAAUAAAGUUUUCCACGUGUGGAAUUUUGUAUGUACCAUAUGAAUAAGGAUCGGCUAACUCCGUGCCAGCAGCCGCGGUAAUACGGAGGAUCCGAGCGUUAUCCGGAUUUAUUGGGUUUAAAGGGAGCGUAGGUGGAUUGUUAAGUCAGUUGUGAAAGUUUGCGGCUCAACCGUAAAAUUGCAGUUGAAACUGGCAGUCUUGAGUACAGUAGAGGUGGGCGGAAUUCGUGGUGUAGCGGUGAAAUGCUUAGAUAUCACGAAGAACUCCGAUUGCGAAGGCAGCUCACUAGACUGCAACUGACACUGAGGCUCGAAAGUGUGGGUAUCAAACAGGAUUAGAUACCCUGGUAGUCCACACAGUAAACGAUGAAUACUCGCUGUUUGCGAUAUACAGCAAGCGGCCAAGCGAAAGCAUUAAGUAUUCCACCUGGGGAGUACGCCGGCAACGGUGAAACUCAAAGGAAUUGACGGGGGCCCGCACAAGCGGAGGAACAUGUGGUUUAAUUCGAUGAUACGCGAGGAACCUUACCCGGGCUUAAAUUGCAAAUGAAUAAUCUGGAAACAGGUUAGCCGCAAGGCAUUUGUGAAGGUGCUGCAUGGUUGUCGUCAGCUCGUGCCGUGAGGUGUCGGCUUAAGUGCCAUAACGAGCGCAACCCUUAUCUUUAGUUACUAACAGGUCAUGCUGAGGACUCUAGAGAGACUGCCGUCGUAAGAUGUGAGGAAGGUGGGGAUGACGUCAAAUCAGCACGGCCCUUACGUCCGGGGCUACACACGUGUUACAAUGGGGGGUACAGAAGGCAGCUACCUGGCGACAGGAUGCUAAUCCCAAAACCUCUCUCAGUUCGGAUCGAAGUCUGCAACCCGACUUCGUGAAGCUGGAUUCGCUAGUAAUCGCGCAUCAGCCAUGGCGCGGUGAAUACGUUCCCGGGCCUUGUACACACCGCCCGUCAAGCCAUGAAAGCCGGGGGUACCUGAAGUACGUAACAGCAAGGAGCGUCCUAGGGUAAAACUGGUAAUUGGGGCUAAGU
rnacentral:rRNA from 1 species